rnacentral:tRNA from 1 species
AAAAAGGUAAGCUAACUAAGCUAAUAGGUUCAUACCCUGUACAUAAAAGUAAUAAUCUUUUCCUUUUUA